CUGACGUCUGGAAAGUCAAGGCUGGUGACAAGCAAUGCAGAGGUGUGUCCCCCACAUCUUCACAUCGCCAAAUCGCAGGUGGCCGAGGGUGAUAAUAGGACCUUGGUCCCUGUCCACAGGUACCCAGUUACCUGCCAGGCACAGCCUCAUAGGUGGCUACCCUUUGUAAACAAGCUUCCAUCUGAAGCUGACUCGCAGCUGCUAGGAAGGACACGGAGUUCUCCUGCAGUUCUUACUCCGUUUCCAGUGGUGGCACGUGGCAGGUACUGGAAACAACACCCUAACCCUGGUCGGGGAGAGCCAGCAUUAUCAGGGCUCAAUGCACGCUCAUUGGGACGUGGUCCCCGUGGUCCCUUGGGAGCACCCACUUCCCCGCCUGAGAUCUUGCAGCCUCAAGUUGCUGUGCUUCCGUUCACUUCCACUUCAGCAAAGGGACAUGGGAAGAAAUGGAGUGAGCUGUUUGGACCCAGUGUGGGUCUCUGGAGCUCCAGGCUGUCGUGUUUAUCAGUAGCUGUCUUUAUCCUGGCUGAGUAGUAUUCUCCCACAGGACUGUGCCUCCAUUUGUCUCUCCGCUUACCUGCUGAAAAGCAGGAGGGUUGGCUCCUGGUUUGGGCUUCUGUGACUACAACUGCUAUAAACACUUCUGCACGGGUUUUUAUGGGAACAUAA
ensembl:lincRNA Gm42489 predicted gene 42489